GACGAACGCUGGCGGCGUGCUUAACACAUGCAAGUCGAACGGUGAAGCGCCUUCCUUUUUGGUGGGUGUGGAUGAGUGGCGAACGGGUGAGUAACACGUGAGUAACCUGCCCCCUUCUUCUGGAUAACCGCAUGAAAGUGUGGCUAAUACGGGAUAUUCUGGGUCUGUCGCAUGAUGGGUCUGGGAAAGAUAUUGUUUCGGUGGGGGAUGGGCUCGCGGCCUAUCAGCUUGUUGGUGGGGUGAUGGCCUACCAAGGCGGUGACGGGUAGCCGGCCUGAGAGGGUGGACGGUCACACUGGGACUGAGACACAGCCCAGACUCCUACGGGAGGAAGCAGUGGGGAAUAUUGCACAAUGGGCGCAAGCCUGAUGCAGCGACGCCGCGUGAGGGAUGGAGGCCUUCGGGUUGUGAACCUCUUUCGCCAGUGAAGCAGGCCUGCCUCGUUUGUGGGUGGGUUGACGGUAGCUGGAUAAGAAGCGCCGGCUAACUACGUG
rnacentral:rRNA from 1 species